rnacentral:rRNA from 1 species
AUGGACAAGGGAUUGAACCUCGCCUACUCUCUAACACGUCAGUAGUUUUACAUUUUUCCAGAGCAUUUGUCACUUUAGCACAAAAUAACUAUUAAAUCUAUAAUUUUUCUAGUUUCUAUUAAUUAUUUUAUUUACUUUUUAUCCCUUGCACUAUUCUGGUAUAUUGGUUGCUAUGGGCAUAGGUGGAUGGAAAUGCUAUUUCUAUAAUAUAUAUAAUUAUAAUUUAGUUAUCUAGUACCUUAUAUAGAUAAACCUAUCUAAAUUUGUUCACCUUAUAGGCUUAUAUUUUAUCUGUAAAACUAAGUUUUUAUUUUCUCAUCGUUUAUACCUUUAGGAUGUUUACUACUUGUAUCGUCUGUUAGAGUUAGGUAUCAAGUGUUGUUUGUUUAAACUAUAGCAAAUUUAAACUUAGAGGCCGUUACUUUAAGUAAAUUCCAUAAGCUUUAGGCGAGGGUAUAAACCCUUUAUCGUUACUCAUGUCAGCAUUAUCACUUGGGUAAUCUAAUCUUAAGUCUUAAAAAGAAAAAAUCUGAGAUAUGCCCAAUGUUCCGCUACCCCAUAUAUAUUCUAUGUAACUUGUACAUAAAAAUAUUUAUGGACAAGGUCUCGGUAUAUUAUUUAGAUCCGUUAAAUUUUAGGUGCAUCUAACAAUACAUACAAAAUUGUAUAAAACCAGUGCUCUGUUACGAGGUCUUUAAAAAAUGGCCGCUCCUAAGCCCAUUUCCUGGUUGGCUUGGAUAAACACUACCUUAUUUUCACUUAACAAUAAUUUGGAAU